rnacentral:rRNA from 1 species
GACGGACGCUGGCGGCGUGCUUAACACAUGCAAGUCGAACGGAAAGGCCCCAGCUUGCUGGGGUACUCGAGUGGCGAACGGGUGAGUAACACGUGGGUGAUCUGCCCUGCACUCUGGGAUAAGCCUGGGAAACUGGGUCUAAUACCGGAUAGGACCGUGCUUUAUUGUGUGCGGUGGAAAGUUUUUCGGUGCAGGAUGAGCCCGCGGCCUAUCAGCUUGUUGGUGGGGUAAUGGCCUACCAAGGCGGCGACGGGUAGCCGGCCUGAGAGGGUGUACGGCCACAUUGGGACUGAGACACGGCACAGACUCAUACGGGAGGCAGCAGUGGGGAAGAGUGCACAAUGGGCGCAAGCCUGAUGCAGCGACGCCGCGUGGGGGAUGACGGCCUUCGGGUUGUAAACCCCUUUCGGCAGGGACGAAGCGUUUGUGACGGUACCUGCAUAAGAAGCACCGGCUAACUACGUG